UCCGGUUGAUCCCGCCGGACCUGACUGCUAUCGGAUUGAUACUAAGCCAUGCGAGUCAUUGUAGCAAUACAAGGCAUACGGCUCAGUAACGCGUAGUCAACCUAACCUAUGGACGGGAAUAACCUCGGGAAACUGAGAAUAAUGCCCGAUAGAACACUAUACCUGGAAUGGUUUGUGUUCCAAAUGAUUUAUCGCCAUAGGAUGGGAUUGCGGCCUAUCAGUCUGUUGGUGAGGUAAUGGGCCACCAAGACUAUUACAGGUACGGGCUCUGAGAGGAGUAGCCCGGAGAUGGGUACUGAGACACGGACCCAGGCCCUAUGGGGCGCAGCAGGCGAGAAAACUUUGCAAUGUGCGAAAGCACGACAAGGUUAAUCCGAGUGAUUUGUGCUAAACGAAUCUUUUGUUAGUCCUAGAAACACUAACGAAUAAGGGGUGGGCAAGUUCUGGUGUCAGCCGCCGCGGUAAAACCAGCACCUCAAGUGGUCAGGAUGAUUAUUGGGCCUAAAGCAUCCGUAGCCGGCUCUGUAAGUUUUCGGUUAAAUCUGUACGCUUAACGUACAGGCUGCCGGGAAUACUGCAGAGCUAGGGAGUGGGAGAGGUAGACGGUACUCGGUAGGAAGUGGUAAAAUGCUUUGAUCUAACGAUGACCACCUGUGGCGAAGGCGGUCUACCAGAACACGUCCGACGGUGAGGGAUGAAAGCUGGGGGAGCAAACCGGAUUAGGUACCCGGGUAGUCCCAGCUGUAAACUAUGCAAACUCAGUGAUGCAUUGGCUUGUGGCCAAUGCAGUGCUGCAGGGAAGCCGUUAAGUUUGCCGCCUGGGAAGUACGUACGCAAGUAUGAAACUUAAAGGAAUUGGCGGGGGAGCACCACAAGGGGUGAAGCCUGCGGUUCAAUUGGAUUCAACGCCGGA
rnacentral:rRNA from 1 species